rnacentral:rRNA from 1 species
AGUGAACGCUGGCGGUAGGCCUAACACAUGCAAGUCGAACGGCAGCACAGUAAGAGCUUGCUCUUACGGGUGGCGAGUGGCGGACGGGUGAGGAAUACAUCGGAAUCUACUUUUUCGUGGGGGAUAACGUAGGGAAACUUACGCUAAUACCGCAUACGACCUACGGGUGAAAGCAGGGGAUCUUCGGACCUUGCGCGAUUGAAUGAGCCGAUGUCGGAUUAGCUAGUUGGCGGGGUAAAGGCCCACCAAGGCGACGAUCCGUAGCUGGUCUGAGAGGAUGAUCAGCCAGACUGGGACUGAGACACGGUCCAGACUCCUACGGGAGGCAGCAGUGGGGAAUAUUGGACAAUGGGCGCAAGCCUGAUCCAGCCAUACCGCGUGGGUGAAGAAGGCCUUCGGGUUGUAAAGCCCUUUUGUUGGGAAAGAAAAGCAGCAGGUUAAUACCCCGCUGUUCUGACGGUACCCAAAGAAUAAGCACCGGCUAACUUCGUG